CGCCCCCCCCUCCCCCUUUCCCGCCCUGCUCCCCUUGUUCCCCUUCCGCGUCGCUGCGCAACGAGCGCCCCGGCGGCGGCAGCUGGGCGGCGGGGCGGGCGGGCAUGGCGGACCCCGCUGACAGGGCCGCACAUGUUUACGGGCCGCGCUCUGCCGGCAGGAGGAGAAAUCUGAGGCAAAAGCUGAACAGGAUCGCGGGCGGGAGCAUGGAGCAAGCGCUGUGGGAGCUGGCCCGGCCCUCACACGCCCCAGGGGCAGCGCUGCGAGCGGCUGGCGGGCGGGUCUGGGUGGAGAGGGUGGCCUGUUAGCUCCCCGGGUGCCUGCCUCCGCUCAUCCUCGCUGUGACAGCAAAGGGCAUGUUCCUGGAGGGGGAACGUCCGUUUUCCAAACGAGUCCGCUUUAUCUGUGCCUUUCCAGUUCCACAAGAUUUACAGUGGAGUUUCCGUGUAAAAAGUGAGUCUCUUCAAAAAACCAUGAUUGAUCCACUCGACCAGGUAUCAAGAAGCUAAAUACUCAUGCAGUGGCAGGAAAAAAGACGGGACAUCUCGUGGUGGCGCGUACCAGGGGCUUUGACUGCUGUUCUGCUGCGAGACGGGCUGUGCCGACAUUGCAGUGCAGCUGAUCAAAGCUGCAGUAAAACAUCUAGAAGUGUCAUUUUUAGCUGGAUGGGGAAAUACUGCUGGAAGGCCUGAUAGGCCAGAAUUUGCCAGCGAUUCUGUUGCAGAUCUUGUCAGGAGAUGCACAGUCUCCGGAAACGUUGAAAGAGUGAAUGAAAACAACUGGUUUGUGGGACUGAGUUGAGAAAGUUGAAACAACUUCGAUACUUUGACAUGAAAAGUAACUUCAUUAUUUCUUGGGUACUGAGUGAGGUACUGUAUGAUCUAUAAUUUCUUGCAUAGAAAGUGCUGCAUGCUAUGUUCCAAAAUGAAUAAAUGUAAUUACUUUUUGACAGGGACAAAUUAACCUAGCGUUAGAGGUGAAGCUUGGCCCCGUGCCAACAUAUUACGUGUACUUUUGGCCUGUUGGCACGUCUCUAAAACAGAGCGUGUGGGGAGAAAGGUACUGAACACUGAAAAGGGAAUUACUGUAAUUCACUUGUAAAUGGAGAAGAGUAUAUAUAUGGCUCAAAAAUAACAUGUAAAUGCAGACUUGAAACUUAUUUAUAGAGGAAGAGGUUAGGAAAAGCACGUGACAACCUUAAGUAUAACUCAAUUUCAGGAGGCUUUAAUAAAUGGUAUAGAAGCCUGUAAUAAAUUUAAAUGAUGACUGCAAUAACUUAAA